GCUAAUGUAGCUCAGUUGGCUAGAGCAGCUGAUUUGUAAUCAGCCGGUCGGGGGUUCGAGUCCCUUUAUUAGCA
rnacentral:tRNA from 1 species